GGGAUGUUGUUAUGCACUGGAUUUAUAUCAAGGUUUGGCUCACUACCAAACCUUUU
rnacentral:ncRNA from 1 species